GAAUCACUAAUGUGUCAUUUGGUGAUAACGGAUUUGGAAAAUAAUGAUAUUACAAUCCUAUAAGUGUUGUCCAAAGCUGGUGCCAGAAGACUCGGUAAGGCCAGAGACGCAAACGUUAGUAGUCCUGAUCAGGCGUAAAGGGUGAGUAGGCAGCUUUAUACUUAUAUUAGGUUGCAAAAAGGUUUUACCUUAUGCAAUUAAAAAUAUGAUACAUAAAGAUAGAAUCAUACACAAGAUAAUUGAAAAAUACUAAGAGUAAGGUCGACAUCUAUAGAUACUUAGUAGAAUACUAAGAGCGAAAGCUACUUUAUCUGGUAAUGAUUGACGCUAAGGAACGAAGGGUAGGAUAGGAAAAAGGAUUAGAUACCCAUGUACCCCUACCUGUCAACGAUGAAUGGUGAGUUAUUUUUUAUUAAAAAAGUAGCGUAGUUAACACGAUUACCAUUCCGCCUUGAGAGUACGAUCGCAAGAUUGAAAUCAAAAAAAUUAGUCGGUCUUGGAGCAAACGAAGUGAAGCAUG
rnacentral:rRNA from 1 species